CCUACGGGGGGCUGCAGUAACGAAUCUUCCGCAAUGCACGAAAGUGUGACGGAGCGACGCCGCGUGCGGGACGAAGCCCUUCGGGGUGUAAACCGCUGUCAGGGGUUACCAAGUUCUGAGGAGCCCCAGAGGAAGGCACGGCUAACUCUGUGCCAGCAGCCGCGGUAAGACAGAGGUGCCGAGCGUUAGGCGGAAUCACUGGGCUUAAAGCGUGUGUAGGCGGGCCCGUAAGUACCUUGUGAAAUCCCACGGCUCAACCGUGGAACUGCUCGGUAUACUGCGGGUCUUGAGCCACCUAGGGGCGAGCGGAACAAACGGUGGAGCGGUGAAAUGCGUAGAUAUCGUUUGGAACGCCGACGGUGAAAACAGCUCGCUGGGGGUGUGCUGACGCUGAGACACGAAAGCCAGGGGAGCGAACGGGAUUAGAUACCCUGGUAGUC
rnacentral:rRNA from 1 species